AUUGAACGCUGGCGGCAUGCCUUACACAUGCAAGUCGAACGGUAACGCGGGACAACCUGGCGACGAGUGGCGAACGGGUGAGUAAUGUAUCGGAACGUGCCCAGUUGUGGGGGAUAACUGCUCGAAAGAGCAGCUAAUACCGCAUACGACCUGAGGGUGAAAGCGGGGGAUCGCAAGACCUCGCGCAAUUGGAGCGGCCGAUAUCAGAUUAGGUAGUUGGUGGGGUAAAGGCUCACCAAGCCAACGAUCUGUAGCUGGUCUGAGAGGACGACCAGCCACACGGGGACUGAGACACGGCCCAGACUCCUACGGGAGGCAGCAGUGGGGAAUUUUGGACAAUGGACGCAAGUCUGAUCCAGCCAUGCCGCGUGCGGGAAGAAGGCCUUCGGGUUGUAAACCGCUUUUGUCAGGGAAGAAACGCUCUGGGUUAAUACCUCGGGGUAAUGACGGUACCUGAAGAAUAAGCACCGGCUAACUACGUGCCAGCCGCCGCGGUAAUAC
rnacentral:rRNA from 1 species